GCCAGCAUGGCAUAGUGGUUUGAGUAUUGGACUAGGACUCUGGAGACCAGGGUUUGAUUCCCAACUUGGUCA
rnacentral:tRNA from 1 species